rnacentral:lncRNA from 1 species
CUAUUAUUAGUUAUAUCCCAAAUUGCAGUAUUUCCAAUUCAGCCCCUCAUUAAAUUAGAAACUGUCUGGUAUCUACACUAUUAAUUUUCAUAACCAUUAUGCUCUUUAGCCAUAAACUAUUAUAUUUUAUUUGACCCCUAGUUUAUUGGCUAAUUAUAUAAUGACCCUAACACACUUUAUUAAUUAAUUACAUAUGUGACCCAUAAAUCUUACA